GUAGGGGGAGGAGAAGGAAGGAAAGAUGGAGAGGAGGAGGGAGAGGAAGAGAGAAGGAGUAAGCGAAGCCUAAGAAGGCUGCUGGGCUUAGGCCUGCCGCGGGGAAAACCAAAGUGAGACCGAGAGAGAAUUCCGAGGGACACGCGGGUCUAGUGUGGGUUUCUGCCAACCCACCGGGUUCAAAGAGAAGGAUCUUUGGAAGGCAGCGUGAAAGAAGGUGACUCCGGGCUUGGGACUCCAAAAUUCUGGCCCCCAAACUUUUCACCCAGAAACCCCAAAGGAAGUCCAACAGGUCGGCUAUCAGGAGACCCAAGGGAGAGGCGUCGAGGUGAAAAACCCAGUGGCCUGGGCCUACGAGGAGAGGGUCCUGGUGAGGCCGUUGGAGAAGGCAAAGGUGUUUCAUCGAUGAAGGUGGUGAUCUCCUCCCGGAAGAAACCAGGACCUCGUGGGGGUCCCCCACCCGACCCCAGAACCCCACUUUCUAGGAACUGGCGAAGGCUGGCUAAGCCCCCGCCCUCAGCCUCUUCCUCAUCCUCUUCAUCCCCCAGCCUGUGUCUCUGUCCCAGGUAUUCAGGAGGGCCCCCGAGGGCUCGGCUCUGGGCUGGGAGGACACGGAUGUCGUCCGAUGAUGACCAUUUGUGCAGGAAGGAGCCUGGUGCCCGGGGAGUAGAAAAGAUGUUGGUCUCAUCAUGGGACAGUCGGCGGGACAAAGGGACCUGGAAGUGGAGCAGGGUAUCCUGCAGUCCAAAGCCAUGGAGUAGGGAUGCAGAGGACCAGAGAGGAGGGGACCCCCCUUCGUCAUACCUGUAAAUAGUGGACUCUCUCAAGAGGCGGGAACAGCAUGUGCCGGCCGGGCAGCAGCUUCACCUGGGUGGGGUCCCGACCCCCUGACCCUGUGGCUCCGUUAGCAUCAAAACGAAUUUUGCACACUC